rnacentral:lncRNA from 1 species
GGGCCACACCCUCUCUCCCAUUUAGAAAGCAAUCACUACAGGAAACAUUUCAAAUAUUAGGAGAGACUUUUUUGUUGUUGUCGUUUUGCUACAGAUCAUUGCUCUUCAAUAAUAUUGCUUUAAAAAAAAAAAAAGAGGGAGCAUCCAAGUUUAAAAAAACUUUUUUCAGUUGAAAAGACAGAAUGUCUUACCCUGAUGGAAUCCCUUGAGUAGACUGAUGGCUAUUAGAAAGUUGAGCAGAACAAGCAGUUCCCAAGGAGUAAAGAGAAGGUCAUGUUCUUGCUCCUCACAGAGAUGGUGAGGGCUCUAAGUAGUGGGGUCUUUGGUUAGGAAUCUCAAGUCCCUUCUCCCUCCUCCCUCCUCCCUCCUCCCUCCUCCUUGGGCUGCCCCUGGAAUUUCUGAAUCCUUCAAAUUUCUUCUCGGCUUCCUUCAAACUUCACUGAAACUGAUUUUAGGGGAACCCAAGCUCCCUGUCCCCCACAAUAACACAAAAACAAGUGGACACUCAAUUAGCCAGUUUCUUCCUCUUCUGCCCGUUUGUUUUGUCUAUAUCUUUAAAGUUAAGACUCAAGCACAUGUUGGAAGGGCUCCCUUAUGAGAGUGGAGUUCAAAACAGAGGGUACAGUUAAGCAGCACCCCAAAACAAAAACUUUGAAGCAGAGACCACUCCAGCAAACAGAACGAAGGAACAUUCCUGUGCAGAGAUCAGUUCAAUUCUAUCCAAGCAAGAGGUAAAGAGGGGCUGCGUCCUCAUCUGUCCCUCUGUCCCUUCCCUGGCAUUCUUGUCAGCUUGUUGCUGUAUUAAACCUUCUGUUCUUUAAAAGCAAAAGCUAGUUUACCUCAAAGAAUUGUACUUCCAUUUGGAAACCAAUGACAGGGCUUGAGAAUGGAUGAUAUUCCUCGUACCUCUCCCUACCUGGGCCUGGUGUCCUUGGGCACGUGGUCUUAGCUUAGUCCUGAGUUAGGUGCUCUAAGCAGGCACCAGGUCCCCAGGUCUGCGAUGGGAAGAAAGGAUUGUAUGCAGCCUUUCUCCCUGCUUAGCAUGUAGGGAACAAACAGCCUCUGUCUCUUCCAUCAGGGUCUUGUCAAGUUACCAUAGCAACCAGCAACUCCAGGUACCACAAAAGACAAUGAGCUGAGGUGUGAGAGAGAGCAUGGGCUUCUGGCCUGGUCAGAGGACCCAGAAUUAAGGCCCAGAUGCUAAGAGGGCAAAGGGAGGAGGGAUCGAACUGGAUGCAUGAAUGGGUGAAGAAGAAGCUGCAAGAGGCCUUGUGAGUCAGAGAGAAGCCACUGGCAGAGCUAGGACAGAUCGCUUCUGUUUCCCUCACCGCUUACCCUUCUCCAGCCUGCCCCACCUCUAUUCCAAACACUCUCACCUUGAAUACCAACCUUUUGAAAGAAGAAAGCAAAAUAUGCCUUUAGACGACAGUGUUACCCUGGCCGCCAGGACAGGAGGAUGGGAUCUCUGAAAGAAAAAAAAAAAAAAAAAAAAAAAAAAGGGUCUUCUGGUUUUGAUUUUUAAAACGAGUAUCCUAGUAAGAAUUAAAAAAAAAAGAUAAAAAAGUUUUUCAAAGAAAGCCUAUGCUAUUUAAAUUGGAGCCCAGUUGUAACUUGGUAAAGGCAGCUUCUGCACCUUUCUUAUAAUUAAUUGUAUACCUGUGUAUGUAAAUAUAAGGCAUUCCUAUUUUGCAGUUCAGAACAAAAAAAAAAACUAUUUGUAAUAUAGAAUAAAGUUUAUU